rnacentral:lncRNA from 1 species
UCAUUUCCAUACCCCAUCUGGUAAUGGGCACCAACGUUCCACCACCUCGAUACUUCGUCUAGUAUGAAGGUGAAUCAUAUCUUCCAAACCUUACUGGUAAGGAAUUUUUCAUCCUCGUCCGACUGAGGUAACAUUCACGGUACUGGGCUCGUUCGCCUUUUUCCGGAUACCCAGUAAGUCUUUGUUAUAUAGAUUUUCAUCAGUAUAACAAUCAACCAUGCAAUAACCAUAUCUCAUUUUGUAUUCACCGUUCACUUAAACAACAAUAUAGUUUAACAUAGCUAAAUAACUAAUGACCGAAAUACCAAGACGCAAUGCAGGAGAAACAAAUAAUAAAAUAACCAAAAAGACCCUAAAAGUCAUCAAUUGAGUUGCACAUAGUAUAAUAGUAAAUAAAUAUAGGCAAUACAGAAAAA